rnacentral:rRNA from 1 species
GAUGAACGCUGGCGGCGUGCCUAAUACAUGCAAGUCGAGCGAACAGACAAGGAGCUUGCUCCUUUGACGUUAGCGGCGGACGGGUGAGUAACACGUGGGUAACCUACCUAUAAGACUGGGAUAACUUCGGGAAACCGGAGCUAAUACCGGAUAAUAUUUCGAACCGCAUGGUUCGAUAGUGAAAGAUGGUUUUGCUAUCACUUAUAGAUGGACCCGCGCCGUAUUAGCUAGUUGGUAAGGUAACGGCUUACCAAGGCGACGAUACGUAGCCGACCUGAGAGGGUGAUCGGCCACACUGGAACUGAGACACGGUCCAGACUCCUACGGGAGGCAGCAGUAGGGAAUCUUCCGCAAUGGGCGAAAGCCUGACGGAGCAACGCCGCGUGAGUGAUGAAGGUCUUCGGAUCGUAAAACUCUGUUAUUAGGGAAGAACAUACGUGUAAGUAACUAUGCACGUCUUGACGGUACCUAAUCAGAAAGCCACGGCUAACUACGUGCCAGCAGCCGCGGUAAUACGUAGGUGGCAAGCGUUAUCCGGAAUUAUUGGGCGUAAAGCGCGCGUAGGCGGUUUUUUAAGUCUGAUGUGAAAGCCCACGGCUCAACCGUGGAGGGUCAUUGGAAACUGUAAAACUUGAGUGCAGAAGAGGAAAGUGGAAUUCCAUGUGUAGCGGUGAAAUGCGCAGAGAUAUGGAGGAACACCAGUGGCGAAGGCGACUUUCUGGUCUGUAACUGACGCUGAUGUGCGAAAGCGUGGGGAUCAAACAGGAUUAGAUACCCUGGUAGUCCACGCCGUAAACGAUGAGUGCUAAGUGUUAGGGGGUUUCCGCCCCUUAGUGCUGCAGCUAACGCAUUAAGCACUCCGCCUGGGGAGUACGACCGCAGGGUUGAAACUCAAAGGAAUUGACGGGGACCCGCACAAGCGGUGGAGCAUGUGGUUUAAUUCGAAGCAACGCGAAGAACCUUACCAAAUCUUGACAUCCUUUGACAACUCUAGAGAUAGAGCCUUCCCCUUCGGGGGACAAAGUGACAGGUGGUGCAUGGUUGUCGUCAGCUCGUGUCGUGAGAUGUUGGGUUAAGUCCCGCAACGAGCGCAACCCUUAAGCUUAGUUGCCAUCAUUAAGUUGGGCACUCUAAGUUGACUGCCGGUGACAAACCGGAGGAAGGUGGGGAUGACGUCAAAUCAUCAUGCCCCUUAUGAUUUGGGCUACACACGUGCUACAAUGGACAAUACAAAGGGCAGCGAAACCGCGAGGUCAAGCAAAUCCCAUAAAGUUGUUCUCAGUUCGGAUUGUAGUCUGCAACUCGACUACAUGAAGCUGGAAUCGCUAGUAAUCGUAGAUCAGCAUGCUACGGUGAAUACGUUCCCGGGUCU